rnacentral:rRNA from 1 species
UAAWUAGUACGUGAAACUGAAUAAGUGGAAGCGUAUAGAGUUGUCGAAAGAUGGUAAUAAUAAGUUGCAUAAUAGUGUAACAGUUUAUGCAAUGUUUCCGUAAUGGUUCAUUGUAUGAAUGUAGUUUAUUAUUAUGUAAUGCACUUGUUGCCAUUGUGCUGAUACAAUUGAUUGAGAUUUUUGAAAUAUUGCUAGAGGGCAUAUCUUCGGAUGUGUAUCCUGGUUUUAUGGAUAAAAUUUUUGGUUAAUUGUGUUAAAAGUAUAAAAGAUGAUAUAAGUAUGAUAGUGUAUAAAGGUUAAUGCUUGCAUUGGCUUUUUUACRUUGUUAUAUCUUAUGUUUUAUGAUAUACUUUUUUAUCAGUAUAAAAGACAAUCACCUAUAUGUCCCGUCUUGAAACACGGACCAAGGAGUUUAUCGUAUGUGCGAGUCAUUGAGUGUUAAAAYUCAUUGGCGUAAUGAAAGUAAAGUAAGCUUUAUGCUUAUGAUAUAUGAUUUUUUUUUCGUUUACGAAAAGAAAAGUAGUAUAGUCCCAUCCAAUAUGCUUGCAUAUGGGUGGAGAUAGAGCAUAUGCGAUGAGACCCGAAAGAUGGUGAACUAUGCCUGAGCAGGAUGAAGUCAGAGGAAACUCUGAUGGAAGUCCGAAGCGGUUCUGACGUGCAAAUCGAUCGUCUGACUUGGGUAUAGGGGCGAAAG